rfam:Caldalkalibacillus thermarum TA2.A1 ctg246, whole genome shotgun sequence.
AGAGUCCUGAGUUGUACGUGGUUUACGGAAGUUUUGAGCCAACACCAACACAAAGGGAGUCCGGAGUCUUCUUGUGGAGCAUAAGCCUCUAUCUGGAGAGGACAUGUGAAGCAAGGAGCAGGACACCCACCUGCCGAGACAGGGAUUCAAAACCAUGUAAAUCACGGCAAAUUUGGGGCCUCU